AUUGAACGCUGGCGGCAGGCCUAACACAUGCAAGUCGAGCGGAUGAAGGGAGCUUGCUCCUGGAUUCAGCGGCGGACGGGUGAGUAAUGCCUAGGAAUCUGCCUGGUAGUGGGGGAUAACGUCCGGAAACGGGCGCUAAUACCGCAUACGUCCUGAGGGAGAAAGUGGGGGAUCUUCGGACCUCACGCUAUCAGAUGAGCCUAGGUCGGAUUAGCUAGUUGGUGGAGUAAAGGCCUACCAAGGCGACGAUCCGUAACUGGUCUGAGAGGAUGAUCAGUCACACUGGAACUGAGACACGGUCCAGACUCCUACGGGAGGCAGCAGUGGGGAAUAUUGGACAAUGGGCGAAAGCCUGAUCCAGCCAUGCCGCGUGUGAAGAAGGUCUUCGGAUUGUAAAGCACUUUAAGUUGGGAGGAAGGGCAGUAAGUUAAUACCUUGCUGUUUUGACGUUACCAACAGAAUAAGCACCGGCUAACUUCGUG
rnacentral:rRNA from 1 species